UGUCAAAUCAUCAUGCCCCUUAUGACCUGGGCUACACACGUACUACAAUGGCCGUUAACAACGGGACGCGAAGGAGCGAUCCGGAGCAAAUCCCCAAAAGCGGUCUCAGUUCAGAUCGCAGGCUGCAACUCGCCUGCGUGAAGUCGGAAUUGCUAGUAAUCGCGGAUCAGCAUGCCGCGGUGAAUACGUUCCCGGGCCUU
rnacentral:rRNA from 1 species